rnacentral:ncRNA from 1 species
CUCUUAUCAAGAGUGGUGAAGGGAUCUGGCCCGAUGAAACCCGGCAACCUGCGAUCGUAAGGUGCUAACUCCAGCAGAAUGUUUUUACAUUUUGGAAGAUAAGGU